rnacentral:rRNA from 1 species
CCUACGGGAGGCAGCAGUGAGGAAUAUUGGUCAAUGGCCGGAAGGCUGAACCAGCCAUGCCGCGUGAAGGUCAGUGCCCUAUGGGCGUUAAACCUCUUUAGGCGGGGAGCAAUGCCGGGCACGUGUGCCCGGAGGGAGAGUACCCGCAGAAUAAGCAUCGGCUAACUCCGUGCCAGCAGCCGCGGUAAUACGGAGGAUGCGAGCGUUAUCCGGAUUUAUUGGGUUUAAAGGGAGCGUAGAUGGGUUGUUAAGUCAGUUGUGAAAGUUUGCGGCUCAACCGUAAAAUUGCAAUUGAUACUGGCAGUCUUGAGUACAGUUGAGGUAGGCGGAAUUCGUGGUGUAGCGGUGAAAUGCUUAGAUAUCACGAAGAACUCCGAUUGCGAAGGCAGCUUACUAAACUGCCACUGACAUUGAUGCUCGAAAGUGUGGGUAUCAAACAGGAUUAGAUACCCGAGUAGUC